AAACCAUAAAACUAACUUUAUGGACCUCACGUGACUUUCUCGAGCCAGUGAGGGGUAUCUGUCUGACUUCUCGGCGAUUUUUACGAUCUAACUUCGAGAUAAAACCCCUAUCCAUUUGACAUCUAAAUGUCAUAGCGACUUUUGGGAUAGUUUGCUCUCGGUAAAGGGGGACACAGUCAUGGGGUGAGAGGGAAGGAGGGCCCAAUACACCCUCCAAGACCCUCGCCAUCUCCUCACCGGCUCCCCCUCCCCCCAGGUCCUGUAAGAAGUUGGGCCCAGCUGGAAGGGAUUGACCGGGUUGCCUGUCUGGAGAUGGAGCCACUAUGGGCAGGACCAGGGCGCCUGGAGUCCAGCAUGAAAGGAAAUAGCGCCUCAUCGCUCUUAUCUAAGCCCAGAGUCUGCAGUCCCGUGGGUAAGCACGCACAUUCCAGCUCCCAGAGAAAUGUUGCCUAAGUCAUGUGCAGCUCAGGAGUGAAAAUCUCCAGAAGGUGAUGGUUUUAGGAAUGGCAUUUGCCUGUAUGAGGAGGAGGUGAGACAUUAGCUAGGCUCCCUAUGUCCUCUAAGAUACAAAGCUCUCCCCUCCCAGGUCCUUGAUAGUGGGUACCUUCUCCUAUCCCACCAAUUGUACCUGGGGUGGGGCGGAUGAAAAUCUCUCAAACCCAAUUCUCCUCCUGGAUUCUGGCUGUCUGAAAUGUUCCCCAGUGGGGCAAUGUAGUGGCUCCCACAGACUGGAAAGAGGCUCUUUGCUUGGACACCCUGCCCUAAAAUCGACUAGUCCAAAUCGAGGUACAAAGACCUCAUUUCCAUUAUGCAAAUGAGCGGCAUCCUCUCUGAUCUUCUAGGAGUAGUGGGAGAGCCUUCGCCCCACCACCCCCCACCCCUCCCGGUUCACCCUUACCCUAAGAGCCCCGAAGUGUUUCAAGCCUCUGUAGUAGCUUGAUUUCCCUUCCCUACAUUUCCUUCUGAUUGCUCAAAGGAAAAAAAAAAUUUAGGAGGGCCUCAGACCUGCCUGCCAGAUCCCUCGGGGCCUCCCGCAGAGCGACUCACUGAGCCUGGCCAUCCAGCCGCCAGAAAGUCACUCUCUCGAAGCAGAAGGGGGAAAAGCUUAAAGAUCUGCUUCAGAGAGAGGCUCAGACUCUAGAGUCGUCUAGGGCGCGGGGGGGGGGGGGUUCCCCCGGCACUACAGGGCCUCUAGACCCACAGCUCCCAGCCAGACCUUAGUAACACCUUGGCCAGCCCAGCACGGCAGGCAAUUUCCUGGAGCCCCCGCCCAGGAACGGGGGCCACCGCACCUUGAAAGGGGCAGCCAGCGCUUCCUUUUGCGGCUUGAAAGCCCGAGCUAAUCAGUAACCGGUGAGACCGGGGCCAAGACUCCAAUACCGAGGCGGAGGAGGCGCGCACCCAGCCCUUACCACCCCCUUCUGGGAAAGCGGUUCCGUUAACCGGGUGUGAGGGGUCCCACAGGAUCGGAAAUUACAGAGGUUUUGGUUCUUUGAUGGUUUCUCGUCACUCCCGAUUUUCCACCAAAGCAUUUUUUUUUUUUUUUUGCGUCGAUUUCGCUUGAAACGAUCCAGAUUGGGGGAGGGGACCAACACUCCCUUGCAGACACCAACAGUUUCCAGAAAACUCAGUUCAACUCCUUCACCACGGGCUCGCCAGCUUAGGAAUUGGCAAGAGCCACAAACCAACUGGAAGAACACAGACUGGGUUUGUCUUUUAACAACCGAGUGGAACCUGCCUGGUCGGCGCCUCCCCUGACUGCCCCCCCCCCCUUUUGGCUGAGAAGAAAACUAAAUAAACCUUGAACAGAUUUUGGCCUCACAUCUCUCCAGCUGCCCAAUCCUGUCUCGUGUCUUAGGUGGUGGUGGUGUGGGGGGGUCGUGGGUCUGAACCCUUAACCCUUUGGUUCAGUACCCCCUGUCCGUGGGUUACAGUAUUACUCCUCUCUCGACAUCUGCCUCUUCCUCUGCCAGCCUCCAGGUUUGUGGCUGGGAUCUCUGCAGGAGAUGGGAGAAGGUUGAGGAGAACGUGACAAGAGACUCGUUCCGUUUUCUAAUCUCCACCCGGGGACUAAGAUGCAGUAGAGAGCAUCAGCAUGGGCCGGAUCCCACCGAACCGAACCGCGCGGCCCGGGCUCCAAGCAAACCCGCAGGGGUUGGGGAGUGUCGAGAGGCUAGCUGUGCCGAAGCCGCCUGUCCCCGAACGGACGGUAGAUGGCAGCAAACUGCAUAAUUUGGGUCAGAGGAAAUUGUCUAAGGGACGAUUUAUAAUCCACCAAGACUAGAGGGGGAAAAGACCUUUACUUUGACUGGGUUUGGGGGGAUUUUUCCCGUCGCGAAUAGGGUCCGAGCGUCUUAGGUGCUAGCGAUGAAUUCCUCUUGCUAAGAAGCCGAUGUGUUUCAGUAUGGCCAGUCCAGGCCUGUGUCUAGAGCUGUUUAUCUGGCCCCCCAAGGGAGCCCCAGUCCUGUGCCACAAGUGGCUGAGUUUCCUUUUCCUAAUAGCUCUGGAGACCAAACCAGCCACACACUUGCCCCAGGAUCCUAAAAUCCUAGACAACCAGAAGCCUGAGCCUGAACGACCUGCAGGCUUUUAAGAAACAGAAAGGCAGUCGAUAUCUGUUCAUGCAAACCAAACUAAAUCACAAUGUCUCCUGUCCUACGUGCCCAAAGUGCCGCACCUUUCUGCGUAUAGCUUCCCUCGAGACCCUUCACCCCAUUUCUUAGCCCUCGCCAGCUGGCCUGAACCCUAAGAGCUUCUUUAAGAAUCUGUCUCAUAUUCAGCAGCUCUUCCCCCUCCCCCAUCCCCAGGAAGCUAGGGAACAAAAUUGGGCGGUGCGAGACGGGAGGACUUAGCUCUGGACUCAGCCUCCGGAGGCUUUUUUAGCACACACCAUUGGAUUUUCUAGUUAAGUUUCCUUUUUGUUUUGUGUUUCUCGCCCCCCCCCACACACACCAAAUUUAUUUUUGUGUAUAAACCAAAAACAGCAUGCUAAAAUCAUUUCACAGCCACCACAUUUGAAUCCAGGAAAGUUUGAAAUGCUUCCAUAUCAGAUAUGCAAUUUUCUCCACCAAAAUCCACACACCCUAUACCGAUUAAAAACACAAGCAACAGAUCUACCAACACCGAGACCGACAGACUUUAACCUACCGCAUGAAAAACCACACAACUCUUUCCCUGCAGACGAGGCUCCCUCGGGCGGGCGGCGGGGGUGAGCAAGAGACCUGGGCGUUCCUCGGCUAGAUUCCUGGGGAGUCUCCCUGGCUUUGGGUUCCUUCACCCACAACCCUUAGAUUUCAGAAAUGUCUCCGAGGGAAGAUAGCGAACAUUUCUCUGUGAAUUGUUCUUUUUUAUGUCACCCUAGCCGCCUCCUUGCCCUCGGCUGGCCUCUGCGGAGAUUCCAGGCCCCACUGAGACCAGGACGUCCCUCAGCGCCACCGCCCCGUGCCAAUGCAGCCAGGAAAUCGCCGUUACCCACACUGGGCAAGAGAACCGCGUGGGGGCAAUCGGGGGGGGGGGCAGGAACGGGGAGAGAUGGAGGAGGGAGGUGAGCACAAACCCCACCAGGGCCAGAGCGACUGGCCAGCUCGGCUGCCGCCCAGACACCCCCACCCUCUCUUUCGCAGCCCCCCUGGCUGGAGCUCUCUCCCAGCUAAAAAGGCGGCGUAAAACUGGCCUCCGAGGCCCCUUUCCGUUCCUCCCCCCGCACCUUCCCUGCAGCGGCUCCCCCUCCAGGAAGCAGCCACCCCUCUCUUUACCACAGAAUUUCCUGGGAAGCUUCUCCCAGCAUCGCCCAGAGGUGGGGUUCAACCCGGUCUUGGGAUAGGGGGAGGGGGGAGAAAAACCUAAGCCCCACCCCCUCCAAAAACCGAUGCAAAAGAAUAAGAAUUGUAGAAUCUCCCUUACCUUUGCAGAACUUGGGGUUUUUUCCCUUCUCCGGAUUCAAAUGGGUGGGGAGGGAGGGAAAAGGGAGCGUUCGGUUUCUUCUUCAGCUUCCAGAUAAUAUUGUCCCAACCUGAGAGCCGUCGUUUCCCCCUCUCAGACUUGAGAGAGAGGUUGUUUCGCUUUUCUGACAUUUGCAUAGAAAAUGGAGUGAGUUCUGGCUUUGAAAAAUGGUAUCAGGCUUCAGUCCUGGGCAGAUUGUCCAUUUACCCUUCAUGAUGACUAAAAAUCCCAGAUCAGCGAGCAAAUUAACUUAGGAAUCAAAAUUAUUUUUGGUUCUCUCUUUUGUGUGAUUCCCACCCCUCCUUCCCUCGCUCACUCACUUCUCUCUCCUCUCCCCCCUCUCUCUUCCUCUCUCUCUCUCUCUCUUUUGCUCUAUCGAACUGAUAUUGAGGUAUAAAAAUAUCAAGAGGCUGGAGCCCUGAAGGACGACAGUGCUCCGACCUAGGUGUGGUGUCCAAAAGAAUGCUGCAUUAUAACCACCAGGGAGAUGAUAAAAAGUUCAUGUUCACGAUCGCCCGGCCACAUGACCGGCGCCGGCCAAUCGCUGGAUUCAACCACUCAUAAACUUCUAUCACAAAGUUGUAAAUUUUCAUAAAACAACAAGGAAUUUAUUGCAUUUCUUCAUGGCUGCUCCACCAGCAACCCUUUUCCCGGUCGCCAUCUUCUUUUCUUCCCCUUCUCUUUUUAGGGCAACCCCAAUCUGAGGACGGGGUGAGAUUUGGGGUGCAAGAAUUCAGGGUGGAGAAGCCAGAGAGGUCCAGCUAGAACCGGGGUUUUCUCUGGAACCUCCACAUUUUCCUCAAGAGCUCUGCCUGUCUUUUAUAGUAAAAAUCCCCCCCAAAUCUUCCACGUGGAACUCUUCUGAGGCAAUAGGAAGGUGAGGCAGGAGCAGCAGCCGGUGUUGGAUGCUGCUAUCUGCAUCGUGGUAAAAAAGAAAGCUCCUACACCCCCUCUCCCUUCCCGCUCGGAACACCCGCCCCCAUUCCUAACCCUAGAGACUCUGGGAUUCCCCACCUGUGAGGCCCGCAGCCCCGCAGGUGGGGGGGGGGCGUCGGCCCUCGGGGUCUAGUUUUUGCCUCUGGAGGGAAGGUGUCCUGGAUGGGGGCCAAACCUGAUUAGUCUAACAAGCAGAUUCUCCACCCCAGCACCCCAGAAACGGGGGGGGGGGGGGGAGGAAGAAG